GCGUGGGCCGAGUGGUUAAGGCGUCUGACUAGAAAAUCAGAUUCCCUCUGGGACGUAGGUUCGAAGCCUACCGACUGCG
rnacentral:tRNA from 1 species